rnacentral:rRNA from 1 species
ACCUGCCCAUUGGAAUCUAAAAGGCCGCGGUAUUAUGACCGUGCUAAGGUAGCAUAAUCAUUAGUCUUUUAAUUGGAGGCUGGUAUGAAUGGUUGGACAAGAAAUAAGCUGUCUUAAAUAAAAAUAUUGAAUUUAACUUUUAAGUGAAAAGGCUUAAAUUUUCUAAGGGGACGAUAAGACCCUAUAAAACUUUAUAUUUUAAAAUAAUAAUUAAUUUUUAUAUAGAAGAUUUAUUUUUAAAUAUUUUAUUGGGGUGAUAAAGAUAAAAUGUAAGAUAACUGUCUUUUUUUUUUACAAUUAAUAUUUGAGUAAAAGAUCUUAACAAAGGAAAUAAGAGAUUAAGUUACUUUAGGGAUAACAGCGUAAUUUUCUUUAAGAGUUCUUAUCGACAAGAAAGUUUGCGACCUCGAUGUUGAAUUAAAAGUUCUUUAUAGAGUAGAUAUUAUAAUAGAGGGUCUGUUCGACCCUUAAAAUUUUACGUG